rnacentral:rRNA from 1 species
ACCAGUACCGUGAGGGAAAGGCGAAAAGAACCCCGGCGAGGGGAGUGAAAAAGAACCUGAAACCGUGUACGUACAAGCAGUGGGAGCACGCUUAGGCGUGUGACUGCGUACCUUUUGUAUAAUGGGUCAGCGACUUAUAUUCUGUAGCAAGGUUAACCGAAUAGGGGAGCCGAAGGGAAACCGAGUCUUAACUGGGCGUUAAGUUGCAGGGUAUAGACCCGAAACCCGGUGAUCUAGCCAUGGGCAGGUUGAAGGUUGGGUAACACUAACUGGAGGACCGAACCGACUAAUGUUGAAAAAUUAGCGGAUGACUUGUGGCUGGGGGUGAAAGGCCAAUCAAACCGGGAGAUAGCUGGUUCUCCCCGAAAGCUAUUUAGGUAGCGCCUCGUGAAUUCAUCUCCGGGGGUAGAGCACUGUUUCGGCAAGGGGGUCAUCCCGACUUACCAACCCGAUGCAAACUGCGAAUACCGGAGAAUGUUAUCACGGGAGACACACGGCGGGUGCUAACGUCCGUCGUGAAGAGGGAAACAACCCAGACCGCCAGCUAAGGUCCCAAAGUCAUGGUUAAGUGGGAAACGAUGUGGGAAGGCCCAGACAGCCAGGAUGUUGGCUUAGAAGCAGCCAUCAUUUAAAGAAAGCGUAAUAGCUCACUGGUCGAGUCGGCCUGCGCGGAAGAUGUAACGGGGCUAAACCAUGCAC